CCUCCUAGCAAGUAAGCUUGCCUGCAGCUGCUAAGACAGCAGUGCCCAUAAAAGUAAAAAUAAGCAUCACCAUGUCAUCCAGAAUGGCUUUCUUCAAUUCCUGAAUUGAACCAUGUCCAGUAGUUGAGUUCCUCUGCAUCGACCAGCUUGAUGUGGUUGCAGGGCAGAGGUGCCCCUACGUGCCCUAGGAUACCAGAACAAGGUGAUGCUAGUUCAGUGGUUCGGUACCAUGGUGCUUGACAUCUCUGGGGGAUCCCUAAGCAUCCUGGUAGAGUGGAGCAUGCCUACAAUCCCAGAACUUGAGAGGUAGAGGACACAGUAUCAGGAGCUCAAGGUCAUCCUAGGCUGCAUAGUGAGUGGUUUGAGGCCAUUCCUGGGCCACCUAACCUGGGCCUUACUGCUAACAAAACAAAACAAAACAAAACAGAGACAAAACAAAAAUGGAAACAAACCCCCAGGUGGGUUAAAGCAGGGAGCUGUGGGACCAGAGUAACACACCUUUAUGCAGGUGCUGGUAACAGGGACAAACCGAGGGUAAAACUAAACUCUGGGGAAUGCAGAGUGUGAGCUCCACUUUAAUAUAUCUAUUCACACACAGGGUUCUCUGUGCAGCCCAGGUUGUCUUGAAAUUCACUACAGCACCCAGGCUGACCCCAAACUUGUGGUUCUGUGUGUCAACCUUACCAGUCUUGCAAUUAUAGGAAGGCACCACCAUGUGAUACU
rnacentral:lncRNA from 1 species